rnacentral:tRNA from 1 species
GCGGAUAUGGUGGAAUUGGUAGACACGCUGGAUUUAGGUUCCAGUGACGAUAAGUCGUGGGGGUUCAAGUCCCUUUAUCCGCACCA